rnacentral:rRNA from 1 species
CUACGGGUUGCUCCAGUGGGGGAUAUUGCACAAUGGGCGAAAGCCUGAUGCAGCAACGCCGCGUGAAGGAAGACGGUUUUCGGAUUGUAAACUUCUAUCAGCAGGGAAGAAAAUGACUGUACCUGACUAAGAAGCCCCGGCUAACUACGUGCCAGCAGCCGCGGUAAUACGUAGGGGGCAAGCGUUAUCCGGAUUUACUGGGUGUAAAGGGUACGUAGGCGGUUUAUUAAGUCAGAUGUGAAAGCCCGGGGCUCAACCCCGGGGCUGCAUUUGAAACUGGUGAACUAGAGUACAGGAGAGGUAAGUGGAAUUCCUAGUGUAGCGGUGAAAUGCGUAGAUAUUAGGAAGAACACCAGUGGCGAAGGCGGCUUACUGGACUGUAACUGACGCUGAGGUACGAAAGCGUGGGGAGCGAACAGGAUUAGAUACCCUUGUAGUC